UCCCUCUUAGCUCAGUUGGUAGAGCGCGUCACUAGUACUCGGUAGAUUAUUGAUGUAGUUAUGACGAGGUCAGUCGUUCAAAUCGGCUAGAGGGAA